rnacentral:rRNA from 1 species
GAGUUUGAUCAUGGCUCAGGACGAACGCUGGCGGCGUGCCUAAUACAUGCAAGUCGAGCGCGGGAAGCCGGCGGACUCCUUCGGGAGGAAACCGGUGGAACGAGCGGCGGACGGGUGAGUAACACGUGGGCAACCUGCCGGACUGAUGGGAAUAACCCCGGGAAACCGGGGCUAAUGCCCAAUACGCCCUGACCUCGCCUGAGGUCAGCGGUAAAGCAGGGAUCUUCGGAUCCUUGCACAGUCCGAUGGGCCCGCGGCGCAUUAGCUAGUUGGAGAGGUAAGGGCUCCCCAAGGCGACGAUGCGUAGCCGACCUGAGAGGGUGAUCGGCCACACUGGGACUGAGACACGGCCCAGACUCCUACGGGAGGCAGCAGUAGGGAAUCAUCCGCAAUGGGCGAAAGCCUGACGGUGCAACGCCGCGUGAGUGAUGAAGGUUUUCGGAUCGUAAAGCUCUGUUGACAGGGAAGAACCCACGUCAGUCGAACAGGCUGGCGUGCUGACGGUACCUGUCCAGAAAGCCCCGGCUAACUACGUGCCAGCAGCCGCGGUAAUACGUAGGGGGCAAGCGUUGUCCGGAAUUAUUGGGCGUAAAGGGCACGCAGGCGGUUUCGUCAGUCCGAUGUGACAGGCCACGGCUCAACCGUGGAAGGCCAUUGGAAACUGCGAAACUUGAGGACAGAAGAGGAGAGUGGAAUUCCACGUGUAGCGGUGAAAUGCGUAGAUAUGUGGAGGAACACCAGUGGCGAAGGCGACUCUCUGGUCUGUACCUGACGCUGAGGUGCGAAAGCAUGGGGAGCAAACAGGAUUAGAUACCCUGGUAGUCCAUGCCGU